GGUGAGUCUGCUCACCCUGCUGGCAGGCGAGUAGCAGAGCCAGCUCAGCAUGUAGAUUCCAGGUGGAGAGGGAUCCUAUAGCCAACAGUGGAUGAAUAAAACCAGGGAGAUAAAAGUGUAUGUGUCAAGUCUCCCAGGGGCCUUACUGGAGUUAAACUAGCUGGGGAAAAGAAAUAUGUUAGACUUCACAUACAAGCCUCCACUUCUGGAGUCCCUUAUUACUUUUUGUUGGUGUAUGGGAAAGGCUGGUAUGGGUUUGGGAUAGAAGGAGCUGCAUCUGUUUUGUGUGGGACCUUGGCAGCUUCUGUUGUCUAAAGUGGUUGUGCAUAGUUCAGUCGUCUUUCCAACUUCUAAAAAGCAAUAGUUGCAAAACAGAGCCCUGGAAUUGUUUUGCAGCAACCAAAUAAUCUCAUGGUGGAGUUACUGCCUUUUCAUCAUCCUGUGCUCUUUCCCCAUAUUUACAGGGUGUGCUUGUAGAUGAGAGACGAGCCGUAAAUGUCUAAGAAAAAAGCCUGCUUUAAUUACAGGCAAGAAUUCUAAUUUGUAGUGGGCAGUAGCAUCAUGAGCACCACUCUUGCAUCUAAAUUAAUACUUGUUUCACAGCUAUGACAAGUGCAAAGGUCACAAGCAUAGCAGGAGGACCCUUUUUGUUCUCAUCCUCCCAGAUGUGGGUUCAGGUACAUUAGCUACACCGUGUUUGUUACAGAAAGUAAUUCCUUCUCAAAGUGAACCUUCUACUGUAAACCAUACAUAAGGUGCCUGGACCCAACUUUUAGGAGUUUCUGUAAAGUCUAAACAGAAGGUCUAAGAAAACUUCCUCAGAGGGGUAUGGUUGAAGUUUGGCAGAAUGAACCUCUGUCCUGGCAGUGGUGUAGGCUCACUUGGCUGCCAAAUGCUGACUCUGACACUGCUUGAAAUUCCGAAGUGAGAUGUAUUAAUGUCUGGAAGCCAGAAAGCAAAACCUGAAGUCAUCCAUUAAAUAGGAAAUUCAGUCAGAACAAAAGGGCACUAUAAAAGCAGAAUGGCACAUUGCUGUUAAAUCAUUCCAUCUGCCCACAACUUGUCUCAUUUCAUUUCCUAACAUAUCAUUUAAAGUGUCUACUUUUGCACUCCAUCUUUCCCUUUUGUCACAGCCUGUGUGA